GAUGAACGCUAACUACAGGCUUAACACAUGCAAGUCGAGGGGUAACGAGAGGAAAGCUUGCUUUCCUUGUCGACGACCGGCGCACGGGUGAGUAACGCGUAUCCAACCUGCCCCCAACUAGGGAAUAACCUUGCGAAAGUAAGACUGAUACCCUAUAAUUUCCUCAGAUGUCAUCUGACGAGGAAUAAAGAUUUAUCGGUUGUGGAUGGGGAUGCGUCUGAUUAGCUUGUUGGCGGGGUAACGGCCCACCAAGGCAACGAUCAGUAGGGGUUCAGAGAGGAAGGUCCCCCACAUUGGAACUGAGACACGGUCCAAACUCCUACGGGAGGCAGCAGUGAGGAAUAUUGGUCAAUGGGCGGAAGCCUGAACCAGCCAAGUAGCGUGCAGGAUGACGGCCCUAUGGGUUGUAAACUGCUUUUAUACAGGAAUAAAGUUAGCCACGUGUGGUUAUUUGUAGGUACUGUAUGAAUAAGGACCGGCUAAUUCCGUGCCAGCCGCCGCUGUAA
rnacentral:rRNA from 1 species